rnacentral:lncRNA from 1 species
AUCCAGAUUCUAUUAGAAAACAGGAACGACAGAUAUGAUGAGAUCUGCCGGCACUGGGAAGGCGAUGUCCUGGGUUACAAGUCUGUGGCUCAGAUCGCCAAGCUCGAAAAGGCAAAGGCUAAAGAACUUGGCACUAAACUCGGUUAAAUGUAUACUAUUGAGUUUUCUGUACAUAAAAAUAAUUGAAAUAAUACAAAUUUUCCUUAAAAAAAAGAAAAAGAAAUAA